ACGUCGUCGCGGGGCCUUCCCCCGCUCUGCCUUUCCCGUCACCCCCCUCUGUAGCGGCCGGGCUGACGUAAAUUCAUCGCCAGUUCCGAGUCCAUUAUUCCGAGUCUGAAAGUCGCCCCGUGUUCAUUCGACCAUCUGUGGCGGACGCCGGUGGUUCCAGGACUAGCGAACCCCUUGCCGGCACGGGCUAGCGCGUGCGCGACCGUCGUGGAACCCCCUUGCGUGCGCCCGCAUCCGCCUCCGAACUUCGUCGCACCAUGACGGCCCUCAGAUCAGAGCAGCUGAGAUGCUCUCGCGGUCUCCUCCUGCUCCUCGUGGCCACCUCGUCGUUCGCUUCGGCGCAGCUGGCCGGCAAUUCCACGCACGCUGUGCCUGUGACGGGCCUCUCUGUCGGCCGGACUUCGACGACCACGACGACGGCAAAGCCGGACCCCAUCAAGGAGGCUUUCGACUCCCUGUCCGAACGGAUCACGCGAAUCAUGAUGAAGGAGUUCUACCCCAUGGUCAGCGAGCUCAUCUACGACCAGCGCCUUUCAACGGGCUGUAUCGGAUCGCUCAUGAAGAUCGGCCCGGCCUUGCAAAACUUCGACAUCUGGGCCGUAGAAAUGGUGGACGCCAUCGGCAAGCCGCACGCAGGCGCGACCCAGGGCCGCAUCGCUGCCUACGGCGCGUACGAACAGUGUCCUGGGCAUUAGGCACAACGAGAACCUGUUCCAGGGCAGGUACUGCAUGAUACACAUGUACCACGACGGUUCUGACCUGCCACCUACGGUGUACAAAAUCGCCGACAAGUUCCUCAAGCACCAGAAGCUCGAGUAUAUCGGAAACAUUUCACGAGUGGCCGACAAGGAGUUCGUGUCUUUGAUCCCGCUUCUCAAGUACGGCGUUUGUUUACCUUCCAUCUGUCAUCAGGAGGACGUCCAAGUCAUCAUUGACCACUUUGUCGGUGAACUCGACCUUAAUAUCACGGCCCAAUGGUGCAAGGUCGAGGAGCCAGUAAAGUUGGAUCAACGGCAAACUCUAAUUGUGUGCCUAUUCGUGCUGUGGACAGCCUUUAUUCUCUUCGGGACCUGCCUACGACAUCUACAGGACGAUGCUGUCGACGGAAGAAAUCAAGGAACCUAAAUACCACCCAUUCAUAACCUACCUGUCCGACUCGGUACAGUCGGUCUCUCUUCGAAGGGCGUUCAAGAAACUGAUGGAUAUGCCCAACUGGGGCGACUACUCCAACAGGCUUGGGUUCAUUCACGGCGUGCGCGUCUUCUCUGCUACGUGGGUCGUUCUGGGGCACAGCCAUAUGCUUCGGGACCUGCACGCCAGCUCCAACAUGAUUCGUUUCCUCAGGCGGAUACAGGAGGACUUCUUGUUCACUGUCCAACUGAACGCCUUCUUGUCUGUCGAGACGUUCCUUGUCAUAACGUAAGUACUAAGGUAGCUAACACGCAAAUCGGCGCAGUUUUACCCGAGGAAAAGAAAUGUAUCAGUGCAACCAGUUUUGAUACGAUGAGUCUGACUUAGUAUUCUGGGUGUUUCAUUUUAACAAUAACAAAUUGAUUAAAAAAUCGUCCGUGGAAAUUAGCACAAAUCUACUUACCGAGCUGCAUAUAAUGUAUUCUUCGAAUGUACUGUAUGCCUCUUGGAUGCAUACAUUACUUAAACUGAAAACCAAUGCGCAUGAUUGACUAAUUAACAAAAUUUUAAUAAUUAGCUUGUUAACUAAUUACUUUAGAGCACAUAAUGAAAUACAUCAAUUGAAGCAAGUGAUUUCACAAGGCACAUGCACUUGCUACGAAUUUUGAAACUAGCACCAGUACUGAGAUAAGCGCAGUGAAACUUGCCGUAAAAGUGCACUGUUGUUCUACUUACUUUUUAAGCGAAGCUUUAUAGGCUCACAAGUGUCGGCGGUGGUGGUGGUGGUACGCUGAAAAGUGGGCCGAUCCUGGUGGCAGUGCAGAAAGGGUCCAAGCUCAAUGGCACAUACCAAGGACAAAAAGAGAGAAAGAGAGAGAAAGCAAGAAAGAGAGACAGAAAGAGAGAGAGAAAUAGAAAGAAAGAAAAAAGAAACGAGAGAGAGAAAGAAAGAGAGCGAGAACGAGAGAAAGCAAGGCAGAGAUAAAGAAAGAAAGGAAAUCACCAGGAAGGUCGGAUACACACACGAUAAGCUUCGGUUACCCCUAUUUUCUUGACAGGGGAAGGGCUGGUGAUUUUUAACAAAGCGUCUUUUUAUGCACUGAAGCUCGAAAGUUACUGGAACACCAAUGCAUUUCGUUGCAAACUUUGGGAACCCAUACCUCGAAACUGGUGCCACCCUCAGACUUCAUUCCAAGUGCAUAUGACAUGAAAAGUCACCGUCUACAAUUCGUAAAUUACAAUAUGUGACGUAAAGUAAUUACUUUGAGAGUUAAUGCCCUAUACACGCGUCCUAGCGCGCAAGGAGUCACACGAUGUGAUAUGCGCACCGCGUAGCGUAGAUACGUGCACACUUUGCAUUGCAGUUGCAUAUUACCGCACCAUGUGGCACGUUAUGUAGUAGUUGCUCAGGUAGAUAGAGCAGGCAAGGUCGACAAG